rnacentral:rRNA from 1 species
CAUGCAGUCGAGCGGAACGAUCCUAGCUUGCUAGGAGGCGUCGAGCGGCGGACGGGUGAGUAAUGCAUAGGAAUCUGCCCGGUAGUGGGGGAUAACUUGGGGAAACUCAAGCUAAUACCGCAUACGCCCCAAGGGGGAAAGCAGGGGAUCUUCGGACCUUGCGCUAUCGGAUGAGCCUAUGUCGGAUUAGUUAGUUGGUGAGGUAAUGGCUCACCAAGACCGCGAUCCGUAGCUGGUCUGAGAGGAUGAUCAGCCACACUGGGACUGAGACACGGCCCAGACUCCUACGGGAGGCAGCAGUGGGGAAUAUUGGACAAUGGGCGGAAGCCUGAUCCAGCCAUGCCGCGUGUGUGAAGAAGGCCUUCGGGUUGUAAAGCACUUUCAGCGAGGAAGAAGGCCUGAUGAUUAAUACUCGUCAGGAAGGACAUCACUCGCAGAAGAAGCACCGGCUAACUCCGUGCCAGCAGCCGCGGUAAUACGGAGGGUGCAAGCGUUAAUCGGAAUUACUGGGCGUAAAGCGCGCGUAGGUGGCUUGAUAAGCCGGUUGUGAAAGCCCCGGGCUCAACCUGGGAACUGCAUCCGGAACUGUCAGGCUAGAGUGCAGGAGAGGAAGGUAGAAUUCCCGGUGUAGCGGUGAAAUGCGUAGAGAUCGGGAGGAAUACCAGUGGCGAAGGCGGCCUUCUGGACUGACACUGACACUGAGGUGCGAAAGCGUGGGUAGCAAACAGGAUUAGAUACCCUGGUAGUCCACGCCGUAAACGAUGUCGACUAGCCGUUGGGAGCCUCGAGUUCUUAGUGGCGCAGUUAACGCAAUAAGUCGACCGCCUGGGGAGUACGGCCGCAAGGUUAAAACUCAAAUGAAUUGACGGGGGCCCGCACAAGCGGUGGAGCAUGUGGUUUAAUUCGAUGCAACGCGAAGAACCUUACCUACUCUUGACAUCGUGCGAACUUUCCAGAGAUGGAUUGGUGCCUUCGGGAACGCACAGACAGGUGCUGCAUGGCUGUCGUCA